rnacentral:RNase_P_RNA from 1 species
AGUAAGCCAGGUGGCUGCGUGCGGCUCGACCCGCAUGAGGAAAGUCCGAGCUCCACAGGGCAGGGUGCCGGAUAACGUCCGGCGGAGGCGACUCCAGGGAAAGUGCAACAGAAAUAUACCGCCCGCGUUCGCGCAGGUAAGGAUGGAAAGGCGAGGUAAGAGCUCACCGGCGGCUUGGCGACUUGACCGCCCUGUAAACCCCACCCGGUGCAAGAUUGGAAUGAGAGCGCUUGCGGUUUUCCGCAGAAAUGGCUGCCCGUCAUGCUCUCGGUAAUCGCGUGAGCGCAUCGGCAACGAUGCGCCAAGAUAGAUGGCCACACAGCGGAGCAAUUCGCUGACAGAACUCGGCUUACGGCUUGCU